UGGGGAAUAUUGGACAAUGGGGGCAACCCUGAUCCAGCAAUGCCGCGUGUGUGAAGAAGGCCUGAGGGUUGUAAAGCACUUUAGGUGGGGAGGAUGGUCGAACAGGUUAAGAGCUGGUUUGAUUGACGUUACCCGCAGAAUAAGCACCGGCUAACUCCGUGCCAGCAGCCGCGGUAAUACGGAGGGUGCAAGCGUUAAUCGGAAUUACUGGGCGUAAAGGGUGCGUAGGCGGUUGAGUAAGUUAUCUGUGAAAUCCCUGGGCUUAACCUAGGUGGGAGAGAUAAGACUGCUUGACUGGAGUGUGGUAGAGGAUAGUGGAAUUUCCGGUGUAGCGGUGAAAUGCGUAGAGAUCGGAAGGAACACCAGUGGCGAAGGCGGCUAUCUGGACCAACACUGACGCUGAGGCACGAAAGCGUGGGGAGCAAACAGG
rnacentral:rRNA from 1 species